rnacentral:rRNA from 1 species
CAGGAUGAACGCUGGCGGCGUGCUUAACACAUGCAAGUCGAACGAUGACCCGGUGCUUGCACCGGUGAUUAGUGGCGAACGGGUGAGUAACACGUGAGUAACCUGCCCUUAACUCUGGGAUAAGCCUGGGAAACUGGGUCUAAUACCGGAUAUGACUCCUCAUCGCAUGGUGGGGGGUGGAAAGCUUUAUUGUGGUUUUGGAUGGACUCGCGGCCUAUCAGCUUGUUGGUGAGGUAAUGGCUCACCAAGGCGACGACGGGUAGCCGGCCUGAGAGGGUGACCGGCCACACUGGGACUGAGACACGGCCCAGACUCCUACGGGAGGCAGCAGUGGGGAAUAUUGCACAAUGGGCGAAAGCCUGAUGCAGCGACGCCGCGUGAGGGAUGACGGCCUUCGGGUUGUAAACCUCUUUCAGUAGGGNANAAGCGAAAGUGACGUACCUGCA